rnacentral:rRNA from 1 species
UGGGGAAUAUUGCACAAUGGGCGAAAGCCUGAUGCAGCAACGCCGCGUGAGUGAUGAAGGCCUUCGGGUUGUAAAGCUCUGUCUUUUGGGACGAUAAUGACGGUACCAAAGGAGGAAGCCACGGCUAACUACGUGCCAGCAGCCGCGGUAAUACGUAGGUGGCAAGCGUUGUCCGGAUUUACUGGGCGUAAAGGAUGCGUAGGCGGAUUUUUAAGUGAGAUGUGAAAUACCCGGGCUUAACUUGGGUGCUGCAUUUCAAACUGGGAAUCUAGAGUACGGGAGAGGAGAAUGGAAUUCCUAGUGUAGCGGUGAAAUGCGUAGAGAUUAGGAAGAACACCAGUGGCGAAGGCGAUUCUCUGGACCGUAACUGACGCUGAGGCAUGAAAGCGUGGGUAGCAAAACAGGAUUAGAUACCCUGGUAGUCCACGCCGUAAACGAUGAGUACUAGGUGUAGGAGGUAUCGACCCCUUCUGUGCCGCAGUUAACACAAUAAGUACUCCGCCUGGGAAGUACGAUCGCAAGAUUAAAACUUAAAUGAAUUGACGGGGUCAUAGCUGUUUCCU